CACCUCUGAACUUGUCUACAUAAUGAUUAUCGCAUGUUCAUAUGGUUUCGUUAGUUUAGUGUUUAUUAAACUUAAUCAGUGUAAGCCUAUGUCAUCCAGGCCGCUGCUAAAGCUUAUGUUACUUUUCUCAGCGCUGGUGGGCUAAACCAAUCAUAGUUAUCGAAGUAGAGCAACGCUUCAAAUUUUCCCGCCCUGACCUGUGGUUGGACCAUGUCGGUUAAAUGGCGCUCAUGUAAACAGGACGUCACCGCUGUUUUUUUCGGGGAGAUUCGGAACCGCUAACGGUUUUUCGGUGAGGUGGUUAUUAUUGUAUUUGUAAUUAUUAUGGUAUUUAGUUGUAUCUAUUAUAUUGUUAUUAAUUUCAACAUAUGUUAUGAUGUCAAAAGGCUAAUUAAUACUUACCAACAACUUGCUGACAAAAAAAAAAAAAAAAACUUAAAGCCCACUUAACCAAAUAAAACUUUAAAUAUGUAAAAAACGAACGCGUAAUUAAUAAACAGGAACGCUAUAUAUACAAAUGUUAGUAUUUACAGAUUACUGAGGUAAAUUGCGAAAGAAAUGUUGAGGGGUCAAUAGGUCGAGUGUACUGUAGUAAAUCACAACGGUCAUCUGAUAUGAAUGAAUAACGGUAAUCUGAUACAAAUGGUUUGUGGUCACGUGAUUUAUGAAUGGCCUCGCGACGUGUCACUGAGCUGGAUGCAGGAACCCCAAUGGCACGUAAUGAGCGUUUAGUAAUGUUACUGUAUUUAUAAAGCUUAAUAAAUGUUUCUUCUCCACACAUCCACUGAAGAACCAUACUCGUAUGCUUUUUUUGUAUGUGUAAUUUUUGUGUUUUUUUAUUUUAUUUUUUUUUAUUAUACUUUGAAUGUUAGGUGGGUGUUCACCCCAUGCAUUUUCUUGCUUGUCUGUUUUGUAUUUUGUAUGUUAUGUAAUUUAGUAAUUUUUCAUGAGAUUUUCAUAUUUAAUGACUGGCUUAAAGUAGAUUCUUUUAAGGAGGUUCAACUUUCUGACAUCAGGUAAAAUAUUAUCUUAUUAAUUUUCCAGGCAUUUCUGAUUUUAAGUUUGUCAAAUGUAGCACGAGUUGUUGUUUUUUUUGUUUUUUUUUGGGGGGGGGCAAUGUUUUUAAAAUAUGCUGAUAGAAAUUAAGUUCCUAAAUUUCAUUUAUGAAAGCCAUUGGAGGUCAUGUACUUGAGACUUUGCCAUCUGUUUUAAUAAUGUUUAUUCUGCUUACCUGAUUCAGAAAUCUGGCCUGAUGUUUGGCUGUGGUGCCUCCAUCAUCCUGACACUCUUCGGCAACCGGUCUUUGUAUGGAGGCCACCAUGAUUGGCCAUCUGAAUUCCAUCGUUUUGCUACAGGUCCAGUUGUCUCUUCUCCCACAAACUACAUUUUCAGUUCAUUAGUGUGUUGCGGUUCAGCAUGGCAGUGGAAGGAGACAAGCCACUGAUAGAACAAUCUUCAUCAUAAAAAUAUCCUGUCUGGGAACAUUCUGGCUUUAUACAACAGCAAUGGUGAACAGCAACAGCAAUACAACAGCAAUGUUACAACAGCAAUGCACAUACCGAAGAGUACCGAAGUGGUGACUACGGUGACUCAACCAUGAUACAGACCAAAACCUUUGGAGAUGGUUCAAACUAGAUGCACAGAUCUACCGCUAGCCCAGCUUCAUUCCCACAUCUGGCACCCAAGAUUCAUUAAGUGCAGUCCAUAACCAGUGUCUGCACCUUGUCCAUUGCAAAUGUUAUGGAAUGUUCUAUUAGAGCUCAUUAUAAUCUUUAUUUGAGACUGGUGUUAUGUAGAGGCUGUUGUGUGUUAUGUUGUGAGUAAAGUUCACCCCCCUGUGAAACAGUUUGCCUUAUUUGUGUGAAUAUUUUACCUUUAUGCUCUCAGCAGUUCCUACAUUAAAGUGUCUUUUUUUUUCUUUUUUUUUAUUGAAAGAUUUUUUUUUUUUUUUUUUAAUGUUCAAUCAACUUUGGGACAUAAUCAACUGUGGGAAGUUAGUAUCAUUGAUUCUGUAAGGCACUAUGAACCAAAUGAACAUUUGUGUAGCGUGUUUCCUCCAAAGGCUUCUUCCUCAUUCUUCCUCAAACAUCAACAAGGGUCUUCUUUGCUGUUGUCACCAUUUGGCUUGCUCAUUGGAGUUUGUAAGCAUCAUUAUUUGGACCAAUAUAUGAAUAUGAAAAUUGGUAGGUGUUACACUAUUUCAGUGCAUGAGUCAAAGAACCAUCUUACACAAAGCCAUGGAUCACCCCUUAUACAGAGCAUGGUAGGCUAAGAAGGGUCUAAUUUAUGCUUUCUGCAUAACAAAAUUAUGUGAACCACACCUAAUAAGAAGGUAGAAUUACAGUUUGAAACGAGCUUUACCUCAACUUG